GAUUAAUCUGAUGAACCAAAGACCAGUUGCAUUAUCACAGCUUUGCGUGCUUCAAGUGGACAUUGGAGAAUCAUUCUAAGCUUGUUAACAUCUUUCAUGACAGCACAAUAUAUCUCAGGCACUGACGCUGGCUCACACCCGCAACCCUCUAUUAAAUUCCAUGUUUCUUGACCAGAAAUUGGAGGCAGAUCAUAUUUUUGACGUUCUCUCAUUAUUUCAUUUCCUUCUCGUAUUGCCUCAGCA
rnacentral:lncRNA from 1 species